GAUACCCGCGUAGUCCCAGCUGUAAAUGAUGCCAACUAGAUGCCACUGCAUCUUUGAGAUGCAGUAGCGCCGUAGCGAAGGCGUUAAGUUGGCCACCUGGGGAGUACGGUCGCAAGAUUGAAACUUAAAGGAAUUGGCGGGGGAGCACCACAAGGGGUGGAUGCUACGGUUCAAUCGGAUACAACGCCGAACAUCUCACCAGAGGCGACGGCAGAAUGAAGGUCAGGCUAAAGACCUUGCCCGACAAGCCGAGAGGUGUUGCAUGGCCGCCGUCAG
rnacentral:rRNA from 1 species